rnacentral:rRNA from 1 species
GACGAACGCUGGCGGCGUGACUAAUACAUGCAAGUCGAGCGGACAGAUGGGAGCUUGCUCCCUGAUGUUAGCGGCGGACGGGUGAGUAACACGUGGGUAACCUGCCUGUAAGACUGGGAUAACUCCGGGAAACCGGGGCUAAUACCGGAUGGUUGUUUGAACCGCAUGGUUCAAACAUAAAAGGUGGCUUCGGCUACCACUUACAGAUGGACCCGCGGCGCAUUAGCUAGUUGGUGAGGUAACGGCUCACCAAGGCAACGAUGCGUAGCCGACCUGGGAGGGUGAUCGGCCACACUGGGACUGAGACACGGCCCAGACUCCUACGGGAGGCAGCAGUAGGGAAUCUUCCGCAAUGGACGAAAGUCUGACGGAGCAACGCCGCGUGAGUGAUGAAGGUUUUCGGAUCGUAAAGCUCUGUUGUUAGGGAAGAACAAGUACCGUUCGAAUAGGGCGGUACCUUGACGGUACCUAACCAGAAAGCCACGGCUAACUACGUGCCAGCAGCCGCCGCGGUAA